UGAAUAUUUAAAAAUACUAGACUUGCUAUAUCUCAGCCGCGCGCCGCGAGCCGUGCGCCGUUGACGGGUGACGGAAACCGGUUCGGCGAACUAUCCCUCCUAUGAGGCGACGCGAGCAGAGCCUGCGGUCAAUCGCGAGACGGUCACUAGCACGACACCGCGAGCCGAUACAGUACUGGUCUAUGUUGGUUUUUAACUCGCUGGUAUAUCGCAUUUAAUUUUAUCCUAAAUUAACUAUUGUGCUUUUAAAAUCACUAUUAGAAUCAGUGUAUACCCCAGAUCGGGGUUCAAGUACCAGACUACCUCCAGUGCACCUACCGUAGUACACCUACCUAAAGUGCGCCUAUCUACGUGCUGUGUCUACCUACGUGCCUGUGCCUACCUACGUGCCUGUGCCUACCUGCGUGCCGCGCCUAUCUACGUGUCCUGCAUCUACCUACGCGUUCGGCAUCUACUAGCGCGCUGCACACCUACCCCGCCUGACCGCUGCCGAGCUGCCUGACUAUACAGGAUAGUGGUGUUUCUAUAGCGGGCCAGAACUUAACGCGUGCUCGAUAUUUCUAAACUCACUCCCGGCUCUGCCGAUAUCUUUUUAUAGAAUAUAGAUGUAUACUAUUUACUAAA